rnacentral:rRNA from 1 species
UACGUAGGGGGCAAGCGUUGUCCGGAAUCAUUGGGCGUAAAGAGCUCGUAGGCGGUUUGGUAAGUUGGAUGUGAAAUCUCCAGGCUCAACUUGGAGGGGUCAUUCGAUACUGCCAUGACUAGAGUUCGGUAGGGGAGUGUGGAAUUCCUGGUGGAGCGGUGAAAUGCGCAGAUAUCAGGAGGAACACCGGUGGCGAAGGCGGGUCUCUGGGCCGUAACUGACGCUGAGGAGCGAAAGCCGUGGGGAGCGAACAGG